AAAAAAAAGAAAGGGGGGCACAGGACGGGAGGGACGGGAAGGCAGGAGGCCUAGGGAGCUUGGAGCUGCAGAGGGAAGGGGAACAGUACAGAGUUGUACACAACAGAUACAUUUGGGGGAUCCAGAGUCAAAUUCUUUAAAGGGCCCAGCCACAGCAGUCAUCAGGCCAAGGAUGUGAGCUGUCCAGACCCUUUCCUUUGAUUCCAGGUUGACAUGACCUUCAGCACUUGGCGUGUUCAAUAUCGGAUUGUCUGUGAUUGUUAAUCUUCAUUGUUAACUUGACAGCAUUUGGAAUCACCAUGGAAACACACCUGUGGGUAUCAAGGGGAGGGUGUUUCCAGCAAGGUUUAGCUGAGCAGGGACUAUGCACCCUGCAUGAGGGCAGCGACAUGCUGGAGUCCCACCCCGAAUAAAACGGAGGAGGCAAGCUGAGCCCCAGCCCACAGCUCUUUGCUUGCUGACUGUGGAUGCUGUGUGGCCAGGCGUCUCAUGCUUCUACCCCCGUGCUCUUUCUUCUAUAAAAGACUGUUCUUCCAAAUCAAUUCCUUCCUCAUGUGCUUUAUUUGAGAAUUCUUUCAGGACAAUGUUUCCCUUCUCCAUUCCCAAUUGGUAAAGCUGAGUUAGGGUGCCUGUGUGUCUCUAGCUUCAGGUCUGCAAUGCAGGUGUGUGCUACACUGAUGGAGCGAACUCCUGAGCAGGACGAACUCCUGAGCAGGGCGAUGCAAAGCCACUUCAUUCUGGCCUCCAAAUGAUGUGGGAUAAGUGCAAGUCCAGAGCUGGUGGCAGCCUCCAAAAGCCGAUGCCAAUGGAGAAGGCAGAGAACCAAGGAGAGGCUGCCAUACAGCAGCGAGCCCAGACUUGGCCUGGUCUUCAGACAGCAGCUGUGCUUUUCAGGUCCACGGAACAGAGUCCCUGUGUGGCUGUUGUGACAGCUGCCAUUGCUACUGUCAUUAUGAUUAGUGACCGUCUUCUUUUCAUUUCUGUUCCAGUGUUGUGGUGAAAUAUUGACAGAGUAUUUCCCUGUAUUUCGAAGUACAGGGGAGAGAGGCGGUUAGUGGACUGCACAUGAGGGCAGCUGAGCCAGGACCUCUGCCACUUUCUUUAGGAGCCUUUGUUCUUUUGGGCCCCAUUUUGUCUUAGUGGGUGACUUGGAGGUUGGACCUGAAGUGAACUUGGCAAAAAUGUAAGGUGGGGGAUGGGGAGCAGCGAAGAAAGCUGCAGCUUGGUAGUGGUUUGUGGUUUCCUGUCACUAUUUUGACCAGUGAUUCUCAACCUGUGGGUCUCAACCCCUAUGGAAAUUGGCCAACCCUUUCACAGGGGUCAUUCAUAGCCAUCAGAAAACACAGAUAUUUAUAUUAUGGCUCAUAAUGGUAGCAAUAUUACAGUUAUGAAGUAACAAAUAAUUUUAUGGUUGGGGUCACCAUAACAAAAGGGUCUGAGCAUUAGGAAGGUUGAGAACCAUUGCUCUAGACAGUGCCAAGACAGAUGGGUUUGCGGAGGAGAAGAGUUAGGAGUCCAAAGAGCAGACUCUCUCCUUUCAAUGUUCCUAGAAUAGAAAUCAGAAGUGUAGCCCUGGAUCCUUCUGGGGAGUCAGUAUAGCUCUGGAACCUUCUGGAGAGUCAGCGACACUUCAUUGGGCUGUCAGGACAUAGCUUGUGGAAAGUUUUAGAGCUCACAGUCACCUCCCCCACCCUUGCUCUGUCCUUGCUUCCCCUCUUCUCUUUCUUCUGUUGCUUUUCAUGUUUUUCUUCUUCUGUCCUUUUCAUCUUCUUUUUCCACCCGUAUAUCAAAGCUUGCUUUGUGUUGCUUGGCCACAAGGGUGCCAGUUGCAGCUCUCAACAUGAAAGCCCACAGAAGUUCCUCUCCUAGACAUCACUAAUGACCCGUGACUUCUACAGCUAUUCUCCCCGGGAAGCAGGCCUCUAUCCUUAAACUCUAGGCUGCCCAACUUCUAUGAACCUGCAUCUCCUAAAGGCUUCCCUUGCCCUAGGUGUGCCUAGCACAGCACUUUGGAAGCCCUUGUCCUAACUAUGCCAUUGCUCUUGCAUGGCCACUUCCAUUCGACCCUUGGAAACUUGAGCCUCGAGAGUCCUCUCCUCCCAUCAAGGAUACCCCUGAUUUCUCAGCACACUGGCUUAGCUUUUGUGCUAAGUUUAGUCCUUGACUCUUGUUCAUGAGCAGAGAGCCCUGUUCUGCUGUCAUGCUCUUCAAGGGUUUGCUUGAGAGUAUCAGCAUCUGGGACCAUUGUGUCCAACCUCAGCCAUGAUGAUGGCCUAUAGCUUCAUCAGACAUGUAUUCUCCAGGGUGUGUGUGUGUGUGCUGUAGGUACAAGUGGUUAUGUAUGUAUUUGCACAUGUGUGUGAAGACCAGACAUUACUGUUGGAUGUCUUACUUGAUUGCUUUGAGAAUCUAGAGCUCACUGAUUUGGCCAGUCUGUCUAGUCCGGGGGACCUUCUUGUCUUUGCAGUCCCAGCGCUUAUCACAGGGAUCACAGCACUUGAUGUCCCUGGCUUCUUAUGUGGGGGUCUGGAGAUCUGACCUCGGAUCCUCAUACUUGUAAGAAUUGUACUGAUUGAGGUAUCUUUAAAACCUCCCCCAGAUAACUUUAUGCCCAAAUUUCACAUGAGGACUUUCCUCCCUGCUUUCUCUAUUCAAGUCAGACACUACGAUCUGGUCUGUAUUUCCGUGUUGCUAGGUCAAAGCAAAGUCCCCAAGGCCAGCAGCUGGCUUAGAACUCUUUCCCCUACAUGGCGGCCAGGCUGCUGACGUGAGGAAUGUUCUGGUGAUCGCUGGGUCUGUAGAAGGCUGAGGCAAGGAAAAGAGCAGCUGGGCGGACAAUCGAGAGCUCCUGGUCCAACUGAGGCGUAUAAAUCGCCAGGCUGCUGCGAAGCCUUUUAAAUGUUUUGACAGUCCCCAAUCCAUCAGAGCCUUUAAUUGGGUUUUGACUGAGUUGUUCUAUAUGUAAAUACCAGUUACUGGUGAGGUUGUUUACAGCCAAACUGUCUGUUUAUGCAAAUUGUGUUCCAAGAUCACAGCGUUUUCAUUGCAGGAUAAAAACAUUCCUUUUAUUUAAUGCCAAAAUUGCUUCUUCCUUGGGCUGGGGUUUGUUUUCCUCUUUGGCUUUUAAAUAAAGCAAGGCAAUUUGGUAAGCCCGCGGAGCAGCAGUGCCCAUGUGGCGGAGGCCACGUGGCCUCCCUCAGAGGCAGGCAAUGCAGGUGAGUGUUUUGAGACCUACAGAUUCCUGGGUACCUCUGCCCAUCUUUCCUCUCAACAUCAAGCCUCCUAGAAUAUUGGGAGCUAAUUACCCUGUGAAGCAGCUUGGUCCCUGUUGAGUGAUUCUACUAUAAAAAGGAGUCUCCCCAGCACCUGGAUUGCACCCUCUUCCCCAAAUGAAGAAUUUAAUCCCCUUCUACCACCUAGAGAGCUCUCAUUUCUUCUAAAAUCCAUCUUCUUGCAGCCCAGAGGUACCUUUCCUCUUGCUAUUAUUGAAUGUGUGGAGUAGACCUGGGCAGGACAGUGACUGACACUGGGAGAGAGGGCCCACCCUCCUGGAAUUUACCUUCCCCUAAAGUUUACACAGAGUUGAGAAUGAUUUAUUCAGGAGGGUCACUGAAGCAUGGUUUCUAACUUUUCUUAUUUAGCAAGCCGUUCCUGCUUCCUCUGCCUCUUAGCCAACUGCUACAAAGUGAGAUGGGGUUUGGGAGCCAAGUUCAUGCGCGAGGAGACAGGUAGUGGGACUUCUGAGAGGCAGAGUCUAUUACAAGGUCCCAGGUGAUAUUAAAGUUCUUUGAGGACUGGGUUAGGUCUUUGGAGAGUAGCUUGCUAUAGAGUCCGCUGGGACCUUCCUUGGUCCCUUGCUCCCUUUCUUCACUUGUAACCUUUCUUUCCUUUUCCCCAUUGGGUCAAGAGACCCCCAGUUGGAGCCAGUGCCAUGCUUUUGAACCUCAGGAACUAUUUUUUGUUUGUUUGUUUGUUUUUGUUUCUUUUCAAGACAGGGUUUCUCUGUGUAGUCCUGGCUGUCCUGGAACUCACUUUGUAGACCAGUCUGGCCUAGAAAUCAGAAAUCCGCCUGUCUCUGUCUCCCAAGUGCUGGGAUUAAAGGCGUGUGCCACCUCUGCCCGGGGAACCUCAGGAACUAUAAACUUGCUGUUUUCUUUACAAAUUACCCAGCUUCAGUCACAUUCUUAUAGCAACAAAGUGGACUAAGACACAAACUAACCAUCCAUUUGGUCAUAAAGGAAAUUGUCACUAGGAGAAAAAAAAUGCUCUUUCUGCAUCACUAUUGUGAACAUCUUCUUCCUCCCUUCUUUCUUCUCCCCUCAGAAGGGAAGAGUACCCUCUGAUACCCUGUCUGCCCAAGCUGUACCAUGAACAAUGACUCCUUCUCCCUCCCCAGUACCAUGAAAACUGACUCCUCCCCUCCAACUGUACCAUGGACACUGACUCCUCCCCCCAGCUGUACCAUGGACACUAACUCUUUCCUCCCCUCCAACUGUACCAUGAACACUGACUCCUCCCCUAAGCUGGACCAUGAGCACUGACUCCUCCCCCAGCUGUACCAUGGACACUGACUCCUCCCCUCAGCUGUACCAUGGACACUGACUCCUCCCCCAGCUGUUCCAUGGACACUGACUCCUCCCCCAGCUGUACCAUGGACACUGACUCCUCCCCCAGCUGUACCAUAGGCACUGACUCUUUCCUUCCCUCCAACUGUACCAUGGACACUGACUUCUCCCCUAAGCUGGACCAUGAACACUGACUCCUCCCCCAGCUGUACCAUGGACACUGACUCCUCCCCUAAGCUGGACCAUGAACACUGACUCCUCCCCCAGCUGUACCAUGGACACUGACUCCUCCCCUAAGCUGGACCAUGAACACUGACUCCUCCCCCAGCUGUACCAUGGACACUGACUCCUCCCCUAACUGUACCAUGGACACUGACUCCUCCCCUAAGCUGGACCAUGAACACUGACUCCUCCCCCAGCUGUACCAUGAACACUGACUCUUUCCUCCCCACCAACUGUAUCAUGAACACUGACUCCUCCCCCAGCUGUACCAUGAACACUGACUCCUCCCCCCAGCUGUUCCAUGGACACUGACUCCUCCCCCAGCUGUACCAUAGAGACUGACUUUUCUUCCCCUCCAGCUGUACCAUAAACACCGACUCCUCCCCCAAGCUGGACCAUGAACACUGACUCCUCCCUCCCACGCAGCGUCUUUGUACGUCCUUUCUGCCUCUUUACUUUUGUCAUGAUGGUCUCCAAAUGCUGGAGAAUUUCUCCCACUUUGGAAAAAUCAGUUUGAUAACCACGGUCCCUCCAUGUCCCACUUUGCCUCUGUUGAGCUUCAGCAGCCGUCUCUGUACCACCUCAGGAGGUUUUAAGAUCAGGUGCCUGCACUGCAUCUGAAAACAAUAAAAGAGCAGCGUGCUGCAGCUGAGCGGAGCCUGACAUCAACAGGCUUCUGAGACGUCUCCCUGGUGUUUCUAUAAGCAGCCCAUGGCAGAAAGCUGAUCUUUCAUUGCCCCUCCCCCACAAUAAAAACAUCGAUUUAAAAUUAGCCUGAGAUACUGUCUCUGCCUCCUUAUCUUCGCAGUGGUGUCUGAAACUGCUUUGGAAAUGUCACCAGUGAAUGUCUAUACCUUGCUGACCCUCCUGCUCUUCUGACCUGGUUGGUGGGCUCCUCAGAUUUUCUCUGAACCUCACGCUGUAUUCUCCCGAUCAGCUCUUUCUCUGCUUCUCUGGUAGGCUCCAUUUCUAGAGCACUCUGGGAAUGGGUGUUCUCUUGACAUCUCAGCCCCUCUUCCUGAUUGGUGAGCUGGUCUAUCACUCCUGGUUCAGCAACGACAGCUCCCAGAAGUCUACACCUUGCACUCCAGGACUCCCUUUUCUACCACAUUUUGUG
rnacentral:lncRNA from 1 species